CAAUUCUCUACCCAACUCUCCCCUGAGUUCUGAUUAUUGUGUCAAAACUACUCACAGAAUGCUGGUUCCUGGUAUUCCACAGACUGUAAUGCAAUUGAAGGAUUGAAGGUAGGGACUGAACCUCAUGCAUCUGUGAGUUCACAGCAUCUACAAAGCUUGGUGUGCAGUUGUAGGGAUGUAUAUGUGAACUCUUGGUUAGCGGAGUGCAAAAACACUGAAUUUAAAUUUAAAAGAUGAAGCUUAGGUGUUGACUCCAUCAUUUAUCAGCUGUGUGACUUUGGGUCUUGUUCAGUUUGCUGUGUUCUCUACUGCCAUCUGGUGGUCAAGAAGGAUCAAUCACUGCCCUUGCAAUGAAGAACUCUAUGAAAGCGAAGGCUUGGCCAUUUUGUGUUCAGCUCCUUCCAAUGAUGAGGAACAAAGAGGGAACAACUUUUAAAAGAUGACAGGGAUUCAAACACAGGACUGUUUGACUCAAGCUCCAAAUCCUUCCAUUCUACUAGUUGGCCAUAACUACACCCACGACUGCACUUCAGACUCCUGAUAACCAAGCCCCAAGAAUGGAAACUGUUUUAGUGGGAUUAAUACCCAAAGCUGACUAGAAGUUCCCUGAUCCACUUUUGUUGCUAGCAUUCUGGGCAGGAAUCUUUCAAGCCAUUGAGUUA
rnacentral:lncRNA from 1 species